CUGCCCGCGCAGCGCUCGGGAGUGGAGGAGGGGAGCUGCAGCGAGAACUGAAGGUUGUGCUUCAAAUGUGCAGUAUGUAAACGUUUUAUUGAAUGGUGCUCUUGAUGGCUGUUGUACCUCUGCUGGGUUUGUUUACGAAAUAGCAGCAGAAAAGCAGAAUUUGUUCACCUUUGUCCAGGGGGAGUGGAACUUCAACAUUUCUCUUCAAAAUACUCUGUUCAAGACUGUUCACGAGGUGAGGCCUGAUGAGCUUAACAUGAACAGAUUGGGAGUAGCCAGAAGAUACACAGGAGCUAACUGAAAAAUACCCCCUGGUGCAGUUGGAUAUACUUGGUCUGGGAAAAGACGGAUAAAAGAACCAAAGAAUAAGGAACAAGUUGACAACAAAGGCAAAGGUAUCAAUAACCAAUAGGAGAUCAAAUACUAAGAACUGUGUAAUUUAAGACCAAUGAACAAGAAUUUCUUUGCAUUUUGUAUGUAUGAAUAUGUGAAAAGUCUGGUAAAGAACCACAUGUGAUGGAAUGAUUUUCACUGCACAGCCCAUGCAUGUGUGGAUGAUAUAACUUCUGUUGCACAUCCUGGCCAAAAUAAAGUAAUGCAUAAUUCUCCAACAUUGAAAAGAUGUUGUUGGAGAGUUUCUGUUAUUCCCAUAGUUUCAGUGACAAUAGAGCACUGCCUUCACAGAGGAAGUCUGUGAAGUUCCACCUGGCAACAGGGAGCUGCAGUGUGUGGGUGGGGAACAAAUCCCUGCCGGCCUCCCACCCCAGCGGGUCCCUCCAGGGAGCAGCCGUGCCCCUGGCUGUGACUGUCACCUGCACACCUAAGGACUCAGAGUGGGUGUUAUGCACCUCGGUUGUAGCAGGGACCGGGCCAUGCAUGGCCACAGAAGGGACCAUGGCACUGUCUGCAUGCUGUCCCUGCUGCUUCUCCUCCAGCCACUGGGGGGGUCAGCAGCUCCGCUGGGACACUGUGGGGGUCUUGUGGAAGCCAGGGGCCAUUGUGACACAGUGGGGAUGCAGGGAACCCACAUUCCACUGUGACCCCAUGCCUCCCAGGAGACUCUUUGUGACACUGUGAAACUUCACAGAACCACUGUGACACCAUGGAACCUCAGGGAACGCUGGAGACAGUGAGAAUGCUACAGAACCUCCUGGAGCCCUGGGGCCCACUGUGAUACCAUGAAACCUUUGGUGGAACCAAGGGGCCAUAGUGACACUGUGGGGCCUUUUGCUACCAAGGAGACCCUGGUGGGAGCCCACGUGAUCAUUAAUCCUGGCAGGAACUUGCUCCCUGUGAGCUCCUCUCUCCAGGCUUCCACAUGUCCUGCCAGGAUCCUGCUCCAGCACUGGCUUGCCACAGGCGCAUGGCUUCCUUUGGGAAUAAUGUUUCUGCUCCAGGAUGGCAUUCUGUAGAGGAUGCAGAUGGAUUUUGUGCUCCCUCAUGGCAUGUAGGUGGACAAUAAAGCCUGAGCCAGUGCCUCACCACCCCA